rnacentral:rRNA from 1 species
GUAAAGAGCGGCGGACGGGUGAGUAACGCGUGGGUAACCUACCCUGUACACACGGAUAACAUACCGAAAGGUAUGCUAAUACGGGAUAAUAUAUUUGAGAGGCAUCUCUUAAAUAUCAAAGGUGAGCCAGUACAGGAUGGACCCGCGUCUGAUUAGCUAGUUGGUAAGGUAACGGCUUACCAAGGCGACGAUCAGUAGCCGACCUGAG